CAGAGGUUACUGCUAUCGAGAUUCGACUAAGCCAUGCGAGUUGAAUGUUCUUCGUGAACAUGGCGGACUGCUCAGUAACACGUGGACAACCUACCCUUGGGUCCGGCAUAAUCCUGGGAAACUGGGAAUAAUUCCGGAUAGGUCACCGAUGCUGGAAUGCGCGGUGGCCGAAAGCUCCGGCGCCCGAGGAUGGGUCUGCGGCCUAUCAGGGUUGUAGUGGGUGUAACGUACCUACUAGCCUACGACGGGUACGGGUUGUGAGAGCAAGAGCCCGGAGAUGGAUUCUGAGACACGAAUCCAGGCCCUACGGGGUGCAGCAGGCGCGAAAACUUUACAAUGCGGGAAACCGUGAUAAGGGGAUCUCGAGUGCCAGCAUAUAAUGUUGGCUGUCCAGAUGCCUAAAAAGCAUCUGUUAGCAAGGGCCGGGCAAGACCGGUGCCAGCCGCCGCGGUAACACCGGCGGCCCGAGUGGUAACCGCUAUUAUUGGGUCUAAAGGGUCUGUAGCCGGCCAGGUAAGUCCCUUGGGAAAUCUGGCAGCUCAACUGUCAGGCUGCUAGGGGAUACUGUUUGGCUUGGGACCGGGAGAGGUGAGAGGUACCUUGGGGGUAGGGGUGAAAUCUUGUGAUCCUCGAGGGACCACCAGUGGCGAAGGCGUCUCACCAGAACGGGUCCGACGGUAAGGGACGAAAGCUAGGGGCACGAACCGGAUUAGAUACCCGGGUAGUCCUAGCCGUAAACGAUGCUCGCUAGGUGUCAGUCACGGUGCGACCGUGAUUGGUGCCGUAGGGAAGCCGUGAAGCGAGCCACCUGGGAAGUAUGGCCGCAAGGCUGAAACUUAAAGGAAUUGGCGGGGGAGCACUACAWCGGGUGGAGCCUGCGGUUUAUG
rnacentral:rRNA from 1 species